AGCAUAUCAUAAGCGGAGGAAAAGAAACCAACCGGGAUUGCCUCAGUAACGGCGAGUGAAGCGGCAAGAGCUCAAAUUUGAAAUCUGGCCCCCUCGGGGUCGAGUUGUAAUUUGCAGAGGAUGCUUCGGGUGCGGUCCCCAUCUAAGUGCCCUGGAACGGGCCGUCAUAGAGGGUGAGAAUCCCGUCUGGGAUGGGCGGCCGCGCCCGUGUGAAGCUCCUUCGACGAGUCGAGUUGUUUGGGAAUGCAGCUCUAAGCGGGUGGUAAAUUUCAUCUAAAGCUAAAUACUGGCCGGAGACCGAUAGCGCACAAGUAGAGUGAUCGAAAGAUGAAAAGCACUUUGAAAAGAGAGUUAAACAGCACGUGAAAUUGUUGAAAGGGAAGCGUUGUCCACCAGACUCGCCCGGGGGGGCUCAGCCGGCACGUGUGCCGGUGUACUCCCCUCCGGGCGGGCCAGCAUCGGUUUGGGCGGCUGGUGAAAGGCCCCGGGAAUGUAACACCCUCCGGGGUGCCUUAUAGCCCGGGGUGCCAUGCAGCCAGCCUGGACCGAGGCCCGCGCUUCGGCGAGGAUGCUGGCGUAAUGGUGGUCAACGGCCCGUCUUGAAACACGGACCAAGGAGUCUAACAUCUAUGCGAGUGUUCGGGUGUCAAACCCGUCCGCGCAGUGAAAGCGAACGGAGGUGGGAGCCCCUCGGGGCGCACCAUCGACCGAUCCUGAUGUCUUCGGAUGGAUUUGAGUAAGAGCAUAGCUGUUGGGACCCGAAAGAUGGUGAACUAUGCCUGAAUAGGGCGAAGCCAGAGGAAACUCUGGUGGAGGCUCGCAGCGGUUCUGACGUGCAAAUCGAUCGUCAAAUUUGGGUAUAGGGCGAAAGACUAAUCGAACCAUCUGGUAGCUGGUCUGCG
rnacentral:rRNA from 1 species